rnacentral:rRNA from 1 species
UACAGAGGGGGCAAGCGUUUGUCCGGAAUUACUGGGCGUACAGCGCGCGCAGGCGGUUGCCGACGUGCCGUGUGACAAGCGGGGGCUCAACCCCCCGAGGGCCACGGUAAACGGGGGCGACUGGAGGACGGGAGAGGGAUGUGGAAUGCCCGGUGGAGCGGUGAAAUGCGUAGAGAUCGGGCGGAACACCAGCGGCGAAGGCGGCAUCCUGGCCCGGUACCUGGACGCCUGGAGGCGCGAGAGCGUGGGGAGCAA